ACGUAGGGAGCAAGCGUUGUCCGGAAUUACUGGGCGUAAAGGGCGCGUAGGCGGGUAUUUAAGUCAGAUGUGAAAGCCCCAGGCUUAACUUGGGGAUUGCAUUUGAAACUGGGUAUCUUGAGGGCAGGAGAGGAAAGUGGAAUUCCUAGUGUAGCGGUGGAAUGCGUAGAUAUUAGGAGGAACACCAGCAGCGAAGGCGACUUUCUGGACUGUACCUGACGCUGAGGCGCGAAAGCAUGGGGAGCGAACAG
rnacentral:rRNA from 1 species